UGUCCCCACCUGCAGAAGACGCCAGAGUGUUCUGCCUGAAGCCCCAGCUUGGCAGAUGCUGACACAGCAGAGUGGAGGAAGAGUGGGCUUUUGAAUUCCUGAGUGAAAAUUCUUAGUUUGGGAAGCACCUGGUGGGGAAGCCCUGGUGCACCUGUGGGCCCCAGGUGUUCAUGUGCACCUACAUGGAGCCAGACACCCAGGACAGCAUGACACCCGAGACACAACUCCGGAACACACCCAUUGGGUGCAGAGCCAGGGCCUCAUGCACAAUCCCGUGGUGAGCAAUCCCAGCGGCCGUGGCCGUCUCCUUCCGAAGCUCUUCCCUCGCCCCUCCGUCCUCUGCCCACCUGCCCUCCUCUGGCUCCACUUCAAGGCCUGGGGAUCAGUGAACAUCUUGAUUACGGCCUCCCGCAACCUUUCCUGACUCACCUCUCUCCUUCGUGGAGCCUGGCUGUUCACGGAUGGGCAUGUUUCUCCUCUGUCAUUGGAGCCACUUCAUUGCUGACACGUGGCGCGCAGCAGCAGCAGAGGUGUCAGACACAGGCAGCCAUCCUCCUCCUCGCCCGCUUCCAGGCACUGCCGUGGCCAUGACCUUGCACUGUGGAUGUAUCUUAGGAGGAAUCCCUGCUGCCAUUGGAGAGAUCCUCGGGCACGGGUCAUGGCAGUAGCCCAUGGCACACACCACCUGCCUGAAGUUCCCUGGGCCUUCUCCUUCCACAAGCCACGACCUGGGAUGUGCUCAAGUAGCGGUUCCCCACCUGCUCGCUGCAUCACCAUGUACAUGUUGUUGUGGGCCCUGAUCACCUGAAAUAGCUGCAUCACAUCGGGGUGCUCCAGCGUCUCCAGCAUGUUCAGUUCCUAGAGGACCAGGAUGUUCUGCACCACCAUCUUCAGGACUUUCACCGCCACCUCUGCCCCAGUGAGGCGAUGGCGGGCCAGGUGGACCUGGCCAAAUGCACCAUACCCGAUGGCCCUCACCACCUCACGGUGGUCUGUGAAGGCUGGCUCCCUGCAGGAGCCGGGCCCCUCGGCUCUACACUAGUCUCACUGCUCUGGCUAUCCAUCCUAAACCAGAACACCAACGAAGGAUGCUAGCUUAAAAAAAAAAUAACAACCAAAACAACAAAUCAAAAUCAAACAACAAAACAAGGAAAAACAAAAAACCCAAAUCAAAAAACAAAUAUCCACAGACCACAACCGCCAACCACCAACCACCAAAUGCGCUAACCAUCUGGGAGUCCAACAGGUCACCACCAAGAGUUUACUGUACUAGUGGACAAAAUCCAGCUGCAGCUACGCUCUUGUAUACCUGCUGUUUGAAACAUCCUCGCAGUGCUUCUUGUGAGGUCAGAGCAAGAAAUGGCCCAAUCCUGCUUGGGCAUAAUCCCCAGGGGUCAUCUCCCUUUGGGACCUCCAGAACUUUCAUCAUUUUCAGAAUAAGA